UUUGUAUUCCUGCACAAAACAUCAUGGCCAAGAAGCAAGUUGGGGAGGAAAGGGUUUAUUCAGCUUACACUUCCACAUUGCUCUUUUGUUUAUCACCAAAGGAAGUCAGGACAGGAACUCACACAGGGCAGGAACUUGGAGGCAGGAGCUGAUGCAGAGGCCAUGGAGGAUGCUGCUUACUGGCUUGCUUCCCCUGGCUUGCUCAGUUUGCUUUCUUAUAGAACCCAAGACUACCAGUCCAGGGAUGGCACCACCCACAAUGGGCCCUCCCCCCUUGAUCACAAUAAUUGAGAAAAUGCCUUACAGCUAGAUCGCAUGGAGGCAUUUCCUUGAGGGAGGCUCCUUUCUCUAUGAUAACUCCAGCUUGUGUCAAGUUGACACACAAAAACUAACAGGUUCCAAAUGUGAAACACACACACACACACACACACACACAAACAAAACAAAAACAGAGAAAAGCUGUAGAGUUUUGAUUUGGGGGUUUUGUUUUUUGUUUUGUUUUGUUUUGUUUUGUUUUUCGCUUUCAAGCUAGGGUCUCAAGUAUCCCAAUCUAACCUUUAACUCAUGUAGCCAAAGAUGGCCUUAUCCUCCUGAUGGUCCUGCCUCUACCUUGCAAAUAUUGGGACUGCAGCAUGCGCCAUCGUGCCCUGUGUAUAUGAAGUGCUGGGAUUUGACUUCAAGGCUCCCUGUAUGCUAAGUAAGUUCUCUACCAAGUGAGCUACAUCCCCAGGCCCUGGAAAUGAUGGGUAGAGCAGCUGAUAGUCUGCAGCAAGCUCUGGACCUGGGCACUCCCCACAUUUUUGGGGGAGUCACUCUUAUUCGUGGGGAUACGAACGUUCUAGGAUAUUUAACCGCAUCCGCCUGAUUCUAACCAGAAAUGUCUCCCGAGCUGUAUGAUGUCUCACACGCCUGUGACUCCAGUGCUUGGGAGGGAAGCAAGAGACCAGGCCUGCCUGGAAAACAGGGUGAGAUCCUGUCUCAAAGAGUGAGAAGCAGAAGUGUUUCCAGAAGACGUUCUCCAACACCAGAAGACGGAUCAAGUGUCCAGAUCCUGCCAAACAUCUCUUACGGAAGCGAGUUACAAACCACUGAUCUAUAAACAGUAUUUUGACCUUUAUAUUAUGUGGCAUGUGUUGUAUAUGAUACAAUGAACGUGCGUUUGAGUUUCAAAGGACUACUGGCUGGGAAGUGUGUGCCUUCCACUCUGUGUGGUCUGGAAUCAGACUCAAGUCAUCAGGCUUGGCAGCAAGUACUUUUACCCACUGAGCCUUCCUACCAUCCUUCAUUUUAGCUUAAUGGCCUGUGCACACAACCUUUUAUUGAGGAUGCUUGUAUUAAUUCCAGCUGCUAUAAGAAUAAACAAUAGACAAAGACUAAAUGUCUAAACUUCACAUUUUUCUAUUCUAUCAGGGAAGAAGAUUGUGAUGGCCGUGUUUGGGUUCUAGAAGAGACUUCUUCCUAGCUUGCACCUGACCGACUCCUCACAUGAUGGUGAGGGAAGUCUCUAGUGCUUCAUCUUCCUUGGGUGUUAACCCCAUCUUGAGACCUGACCUGACCUAGCCCUAGGCACUUCCCAAACAUCCCAUCUCUACAUGUCAUCAUUGAGAACUGGGGUUUCAAUGUAAAUUUAAAUCCAGCUGCUCUUCCAAAUGUCAGGGAGCACAUUGUUCCUCCUUUAUUGUCCUGUAUCUCAAGAACGUAGGGAUCAGCCAAACACUUGUACCAUGUGCUAGAGUCAUGGUGGCACACAGCUUGUGGGAGUAACCAGCCAAUAACUGAUUUGAUUUAAGGCCCUCUCCACAGGGUGUAAGAGACCAGAUAGCCUUGGGACCUAGGGGAAGAACAAAUAAUAAUGGUCUUUUAAAAAGAACAAAAAAGUGAUAAUGAAUCAGCCAAGCACCUUUUAGCUUUACAUCACAAUAUUUUAAACGAUGUUUCAGUAUACCACUAUAGUAUGGACAAACUGGGUGGAAACACCUGAGGGUUAAAUUUUUCACAGAAGAAUUAGGUGUGACUACACCGAAAACACAGGACAAAUUGUGAGAAUAAGAUAUUAUCAUUUUGCCUGGCCUAGUGAGAGGUGAUAGGAUAAUUCUAAGACAUUUACAUCUAGUACAUUUCUACUGAUGUCAACGAAAUUGAAAGCUGACUCCCAUACAUAGUUAUGUAUGACACUUAAAGUCCAGGCCAGCCUUCAGUUGUAGUGACCGUAAGUUUUAGUUUAAUUUUUUAAUUUUUCCCCAAGGAGGUAAGAUUUGAAAGUGUGGUGUGACUUUCCCACAGGAGACAUAAGCAAACAUCUAUCCCAGAGAGAUCAUCAAGAACAAAGAAAUAAUUUUCCUGAAGUCUAACGGCAAACAUUGUGUUUAUUGGGAUUACCACGGGGGAAAUGGAUGGAGCACUAGUUACAGAGGCAUGGUUGACUCAAGAGUAGCUAUAUCACCAAAAGGCCCACCUCUGAGGAAAGAUGCAACCAGCUCUCUGCAGGCUCCUCUCUCCCCAACAGUGUGCUCGUAUAACCUUGAGAAGGAAGGGGGACUUGUUGAUAUUGUUUCAGGAGCUUUCCUAGAUUGGUGGUCAUUUGGCUCCUGAGUCUAAAGAAGUCUCCUGGACAGAAUGAUCUUGAUAAAGAACACACUAGCACUCAUCAGGGUGCUAGGACAGGGACUUUGGUGUGGUUAGCAGGGUGAAUGACACAGGGUAUCUAAGAAGAGCUUAGUUUGUAUUUAUCCCCAGUGACGUUGAGACUUUCUUGUGCUCAAAGGCUAUUUUACAGUUCAAAAUUUCAAUUUAUAUCUUUUGUAUUCAGACUUAAUGUCUAUAUUAGUAUCCACUUGGCAACUCUUCUGUGUCACAUUUCUACUUGCAGAGUAGGUUUUUGUCUACAGUCUUAGGGUUUUAAGGCUGUGAACAGAUACCAUGACCAUGGCAACUCUUAUAAGGACAACAUUUAAUGGGACCUGGCUUAAAGGUUCAGAGGUUCAUAAAGGUGGGAACAUGGCAGCAUCCAGGAAGGCAUGGUACAGGAGGAGCUGAAAGUUCUACAUCUCAUCUGAAGGCUGCUAGGAGAAGACUGGCUUCCAGGCAGCGAGGAUGAGGGGUCUUAAAGAUCAUGCCCACAGUGACACACCUACUUCAACAAGACCACUUCUUCUAGUAGUGCCACUCCCUGGGCCAAGAAUAUACAAACCAUCACAUCUGCCCUUUCUAUUUCCAGCUGAUCCAUCCUGUCAUAUCAACAUAACUUCUGUAUUAACUGUCAUAGCAGAACUCUUCUGACAUUUUAAAACAUUUGAUUUCUGGAGACUUAAAAUAUGAAAUCUUCUAAGUUUGUUGUAGUGUUUUGUUUUGUUUUGUUUCAAACCUAGUACUAAAGCUUUCUGAGCAGACAUAAACUCUGUAUGGAAAUAUCAUACCAGGAACAUUAAACUAACAAAAAUCACUGUAUAAAAUCAGCAGCAGGCUAUUUGUACAAGGUCCACUGUGUAAAAUCAGUGUCAGGUUAUGUGUACGAGUUGUAUAAGAAAAACAAACAAAUUACUGGCCUAAAGUUGAGUACUGUUCACGAAAUAUUUCAUUGUGUGCAUAAAAUAUGUUUCCUAAAAUAUCUAAAAGGUGAAAAGAAAGGGUCCCACAUGCUAAAUAAGGAAAGAGUGCUCAGUUUGUGUUUUCUGGUAGAGUGCUGUUGUGUUGUUGUUGUUGUUGUUGUAAUACAUUCUGUAAAGGUAAACACAAAUAUUAAUUUUCCCCAGAUAGAUAACCAGCACCAGCCCACUAAGAUGGAUCUACUGAAUGAAGUACAACUUUGCAAACCAAUGAGUUCACUGACAUUACUUGCAGAAAUAUUGGUGAGAUGUUACUUACAAAAACAUAGAUGACUCAUAAGCAGCUGCUUCAAAAAAAACAAAAACAAAAAAACAAAAAAAACCCCAAGUCCCAUUUGGGUGACACUUCACAAAAACUGUAUCUCUGGAGCUCUCUGCAUGGCUUGUAGGCAGGUCUGCAGGCUAGAGAGUCCGCUCUCCCCAGCAGUUACAUAAGUUGCUUAUAUAACCUUGGUUUAUUGAAUAAAUAUGAUGUGUCUAUUGAACUGAUUUCUAAAUAUUUACACUCCCAGAUUACUGCUGUUAUCAGCUUCCUUUAUUGUAAUAGAGAGGUGCAGGGCAGAGACUCAUAACUGGGGAGGAGCCUUGUGAAUCUCCUAAAUUUCAGGAACUUCCUGAUACCUAGAGUUGUUUCUAGGAUUUGUUGAGUCUCCAGGAUCCUCUUCCCUGGAUGGCUGUUGAGGACUUCCUGAGUCUUAGAAUGUUUGUUUCAAUACAGAAGAAACUGCUGAAUAAC
rnacentral:lncRNA from 1 species